UACGUAGGGGGCGAGCGUUGUCCGGAAUUAUUGGGCGUAAAGAGCGCGUAGGCUGUUCGGUAAGUCUGCCGUGAAAACCUGAGGCUCAACCUCGGGCGUGCGGUGGAUACUGCCGGGCUAGAGGACGGGAGAGGCGAGUGGAAUUCCCGGUGUAGCGGUGAAAUGCGCAGAUAUCGGGGGGAACACCAGCGGCGAAGGCGGCACUCUGGGCUGGAACUGACGCUGAGGAGCGAAAGCGUGGGUAGCAAACAGG
rnacentral:rRNA from 1 species